AGGUACAACCAGGAAAAGGCCCGGAGCUACAACCGGGAAACACAGGAUCCAGACUCUGAAGUUCUCUACAGGGCUGUGCAACCCCAUCAUAGACACUUCAAUGAAGAUUCAGAACCGCAGCAGAAAAAAGAAAUGUGAUUUCCAGAGAGUACACUGUAAGCUUCAGCUCAUGUGAAGGGCAUCUUCUGAAGCUCGUUUCCGUGAAACUCGCCCUGUUAAAUAUCUCCCUUCCCGUGAUUCGUGAGAGAGCUAGUCUAAAAACAAAAAACUUCCCCUUUCCUCCAGGUCGGAGAUAAUUUUCCUCUAGUUGCUUAUAGCUUGGUGACCAGGCAUUACUGAAAAUGUGCACAUCGAACCAGCAGCAGAUUUGUGUUUAAGAAUAAACUGACAAAAUUUUCA
rnacentral:lncRNA from 1 species